rnacentral:rRNA from 1 species
GGUUAAGCGACUAAGCGUACACGGUGGAUGCCCUGGCAGUCAGAGGCGAUGAAGGACGUGCUAAUCUGCGAUAAGCGCCGGUAAGGUGAUAUGAACCGUUAUAACCGGCGAUUUCCGAAUGGGGAAACCCAGUGUGACUCGUCACACUAUCAUUAACUGAAUCCAUAGGUUAAUGAGGCGAACCGGGGGAACUGAAACAUCUAAGUACCCCGAGGAAAAGAAAUCAACCGAGAUUCCCCCAGUAGCGGCGAGCGAACGGGGAGGAGCCCAGAGCCUGAAUCAGCAUGUGUGUUAGUGGAAGCGUCUGGAAAGGCGCGCGAUACAGGGUGACAGCCCCGUACACAAAAGCGCAUAUGCUGUGAGCUCGAUGAGUAGGGCGGGACACGUGGUAUCCUGUCUGAAUAUGGGGGGACCAUCCUCCAAGGCUAAAUACUCCUGACUGACCGAUAGUGAACCAGUACCGUGAGGGAAAGGCGAAAAGAACCCCGGCGAGGGGAGUGAAAAAGAACCUGAAACCGUGUACGUACAAGCAGUGGGAGCCCCACCACUAAGCCAGUGGUGAACUCCACAUACGCAUCCUUUGCUGAGGAUACGGUUAACGGAGCGAAAGCGACGUUCAACCGCAAAAGAAGCAGAGGGGGCUUAGUGGUGGGGUGACUGCGUACCUUUUGUAUAAUGGGUCAGCGACUUAUAUUCUGUAGCAAGGUUAACCG